AUUGAACGCUGGCGGCAUGCCUAACACAUGCAAGUCGAACGGGGCAGCAAUGCCUAGUGGCGGACGGGUGAGGAAUACGUAGGAGUCUGCCCUUAAGUGGGGGAUAACCAGGGGAAACCCUGACUAAUACCGCAUGAUCUCUUCGGAGCAAAGAGGGGGACCGCAAGGCCUCUCGCUUCUGGAUGAGCCUACGUCUGAUUAGCCAGUUGGUAGGGUAAAGGCCUACCAAGGCGACGAUCAGUAACUGGUCUGAGAGGAUGAUCAGUCACACCGGAGCGGAGACACUGGCCGCACGACUACUGGACGCAGCAGUGGGUAAUAUAUGACUAUGGACGCAGGCCUGAUCCAUCAAUGCCAGGUGGGUGAAGAAGGCCUUCGGGUUGUAAAGGACUUUAGCCUGGAACGAAAAACCUUUAUUUAGCACCCAAAGUCUUGACGGUACCAGGAGAAUAAGCACCGGCUAACUCUGUGCCAGCCGCCGCCGUAAGAC
rnacentral:rRNA from 1 species